rnacentral:rRNA from 2 species
UUAGAGUUUGAUCAUGGCUCAGGACGAACGCUGGCGGCGUGCUUAACACAUGCAAGUCGAACGGAUGUAGCAAUACAUUAGUGGCGGACGGGUGAGUAACACGUGAGCAACCUGCCUUAAUCAGGGGGAUAACAUUCAGAAAUGAGUGCUAAUACCGCAUAAGACCACAGUAUGGCAUCAUACAGGGGUCAAAGGAGUAAUCCGGAUUAAGAUGGGCUCGCGUCCCAUUAGGUAGUUGGUGAGGUAACGGCCCACCAAGCCUGCGAUGGGUAGCCGACCUGAGAGGGUGAUCGGCCACACUGGAACUGAGAAACGGUCCAGACUCCUACGGGAGGCAGCAGUGGGGAAUAUUGGUCAAUGGGGGAAACCCUGAACCAGCAACGCCGCGUGAGUGAAGAAGGUCUUCGGAUUGUAAAGCUCUGUGAAGAGGGAAGAAAAAAAUGACGGUACCUCUAAAGCAAGCCACGGCAAACUACGUGCCAGCAGCCGCGGUAAUACGUAGGUGGCAAGCGUUGUCCGGAAUGACUGGGCGUAAAGGGUGCGUAGGCGGCUUAUCAAGUUAGAAGUGUAAUACCUGAGCUUAACUUAGGUGCUACUUCUAAAACUGGUGAGCUUGAGUGUGGGAGAGGUAAGUGG